rnacentral:lncRNA from 1 species
ACACUUCUAUUAACCUGUUUUGGUGCUUGUAGAAAGUAAGGAACUGUCUAACAUUCUGGAAAUCAGCAAAGUUGCUCAAGGAUUUAAGGUCAUCUCCUGUGUGGUGAUAAGGGCUUCUGGCUGUUGCUAUUGCUGUACAGGGCAGCUCUGACUCUGAGCAGGAAAGUCUAGGCAAGAUAGAGGAUGUGAUGGCCUUUGAGCUCUUCCCCCCCCACCGCCCCGAGCCUGGAAGAAGAGAGCCAUUUACACAAGUAUCAGGAAGAGACAAGCCCACAGAGCUGAAAUUCCUUGUUAAGGUGGUUGUCGGAGAACGGAUGCAGAAAAUGGAAGUGUGGAACAAAGUCAUGAGCCUGAUGAGAAAUAGAAAUAUCAGAGAGCCUCAAAUCAAAGGAAGAGUUCUGAUUUUCUUACACAGAAACCAUUUGCUUUUCUCUGCCUUGGCAAAAUACAACUUGUUCAUUAUAUUGUGUGAGCCUUUGAUAUAA